rnacentral:rRNA from 1 species
ACCUAGGGGGGCAGCAGUGGGGAAUAUUGGGCAAUGGGCGCAAGCCUGACCCAGCAACGCCGCGUGAAGGAAGAAGGCUUUCGGGUUGUAAACUUCUUUUCUCAGGGACGAAGCAAGUGACGGUACCUGAGGAAUAAGCCACGGCUAACUACGUGCCAGCAGCCGCGGUAAUACGUAGGUGGCAAGCGUUAUCCGGAUUUACUGGGUGUAAAGGGCGUGUAGGCGGGGACGCAAGUCAGAUGUGAAAACCACGGGCUCAACCUGUGGCCUGCAUUUGAAACUGUGUUUCUUGAGUACUGGAGAGG